GCUUCCAUAACUCAGCCUGGAUUAGAGUAUCGGCCUUCUAAGCCGAGAGCGGGGGUUCGAAUCCCUCUGGGAGCGCCA
rnacentral:tRNA from 1 species